rnacentral:rRNA from 1 species
GACGCAAGUSUGAUGCAGCCAUACCGCGUGUGUGAAGAAGGCCCKAGGGUUGUAAAGCACUUUCAAYAGAGAGGAAGAYUAAGURGUUAAUACCCGUUUAGWWWGACGUYACYURYAGAAGAAGCACCGGCUAACUCYGUGCCAGCAGCCGCGGUAAUACAGAGGGUGCAAGCGUUAUUCGGAAUUACUGGGCGUAAAGCGCGCGUAGGCGGAUGAUUAAGUCAGUUGUGAAAGCCCUGGGCUCAACCUAGGAACUGCAUCUGAUACUGGUCAUCUAGAGUUUAAGAGAGGGAAGUGGAAUUCCAGGUGUAGCAGUGAAAUGCGUAGAUAUCUGGAGGAACAUCAGUGGCGAAGGCGACUUCCUGGCUUAAAACUGACGCUGAGGUGCGAAAGCGUGGGUAGCGAACGGGAUUAGAUACCCCGGUAGUCCACGCCGUAAACGAUGUCAAACUAGUUGUUGGUCUUAUUAAAAAGAUYAGUAACGAAAGCU